AGGAGAGCGAGGGACUUCCGGGGGGAAGGGAGGAGAGCGAGGGACUUCCGGGGGGAAGGGAGGAGAGCGAGGGACUUCCGGGGGGAAGGGAGGAGAGCGAGGGACUUCCGGGGGGAAGGGAGGAGAGCGAGGGACUUCCGGGGGUAAGGGACUCGGUGAGGAACUCGGGGGAUCGGAGAGGGGCUCGUGUGCUGGGCGACAGUGACACACUCAGCAGCCCGGCGGGAGCCGCGGGCACACAGGGCAGACGGGACCUAGAUGACGACAGAUCUGCGUGUUUGGGCUCUGUUUGAAACAGACCUCAGCCAGAGUCUUGAAGAGCAGAACCCGGAGUGUUGAAGUCACAAGAGAUCAACAUCCCUACGGUGUGAAAUCCUGAAAACGGCAAAUCCCAAAGGACGAAACGCCCGAAAAUGAUGUCAUCCUUUAAGUGUUUUCUUCUUUUUUCUUUUCUUUUUCUUUUCUUUUCUUUUUUUUUUUUUUUUUGAGUCAGGAUCUCGCUCUGUCGCCCAGGCUGCAGUGCAGUGCCGCUAUCGUGGCUCACUGCAGCCUCAGCCUCCUGGGCUCGAGUGGUCCUCCCACCAGAGCCUCCCACACUGCUGGGAUUACAGGCACCAACCACCUUGCGCAGCUAGAGAGUAAUUUUUAAACUUCUUUAAAAGACAGUUAGACUGGACAUGGUGGCUCACGACGGGAAUCCCAGCAAUUUGGGAGCUCAAGCUGGGGGGAUCGCUAGAGUCCAGGAGUUUGAGACCAGCCUGGGAAACAGGGAGACCGUGUCUCUACGAAAAAAAGUUUAAAAAAUUAGCCGGAUGUGGUGGCUCACGCCUGUGCUUCCAGGUAUUCUGGAGGCUGAGGCAGGAGAAUGGCGUGAACCCGGGAGGCG
rnacentral:lncRNA from 1 species